CCCUGAUCAAGCCCUGUAGUAUAUCUUACGCUAGAGUGCAAAUCUAGAGACGAACCCUAAAGGUGUUCCAGGGCU
rnacentral:tRNA from 1 species